GACCCAGGAGAUUGGUUUAAUCAAAUAAUGAUGUUUUUCAUUAUUCACGUUUUCCCCUAAACAGACCCUAAUGGUGACGACAUCGUGCGUAUGAUUCUAGCUGCCGAUCUUCAUCUUCCUCUGAUCUACCUUUUCAUUUACUCCUGUCAUUAACACAUAACAUCUUCUUUGCUUUGUAUUAAUUAUCUCCACUUGAUUUCAUGUUACUAAUUGUUGUGUAUGUUUGUUAGGGUUUUUCCAAUCCUAUUCUCUAUUUUGCCCAAAUCAAGAUAAGGGUUCUUUUAUUUUCGAUCAACGUUUAUUAUAUAAUGCAUCCAUCAAAGUAGCAAAUAUGUUAUUUUUUGGUUUCAAGUUCUCGGUUUCGCUUUAAUAAGGCCGAAUAACCGACCCGGAAAACCCAAGCUCGAACCGAAAUGCUUGCAGAUAAGAUUCACGGGAAAAUAAGUGAAGGUGACUUUGCUUUAUCAACUAGGUAAACAUAACUAAGGUGGCAACCGUUGAGUGAUAAAUGCCAUUCACUUUCUUCUUGUGCAAUCUAGAUAUAGUUUUAUCAGAGCUGUGAAACCAUAUCUCUUUAAGAUGCACUUCUCAACACCCAGGUGAUUCAUGCACCAACAACACUGUUGCAUCUGCUGCAAGCUAACAGGAGAAGGCUCUACGCGAAGCCUAGACCAAAACCCAAAACAGCACUAGAAAUGUUGCUGUUGCAAAGAUCUGGAAGCUUUUAGGUGAGCAGUUGCUACUCAAAGACACCCUGAAUGAUUCUGUUGUCUACAAAAAAGAUCAAAGAUAUCAUGGUAAGGUGAGAGGAAUCAGUGAUUUGUUAAGGCAACUUACUAACAGUUGAAAAACAAUUAUACUUAUAUUAGAAGUAAGAUGUCAGUUAAUGUUUUCUACAUGUCAGACUGAGACUGUAUUACGUUAAUAUGUUAUUUUAUUUAAUUAUAAUCUAAAGCUAUAUAGUAUUUUUAUUGGUUA